AGUCAGUGACUUGUAAAAACAACAAUGAAGAUGUAAUAAUGAAGACCGACUAUAAACAUUUGCCUUGCACAAAGAGAAAACUUAGAAAUAAGGAGAAGGACAGAGACCAUGACAGAGGUGACAAUACAAGGAUAAAGAGAGCAAGAGAGACAGGACAAGAGGAUACUGACAGGCCAGAAGGAGCUGACACUCAGGAAUGGAUUUUUAUUCAUCUUGACAAACUGUAUCACUGGGAAGUGUCUUCUUGAUUAAAAAUUGUGGAUAUUCCAUAAUAUAAUAUUCAGUUAUAUAGUACAUGUAAUGUACAUGGUCUAAACAA